UUCACUUCUCGGCCUUUUGGCUAAGAUCAAGUGUAGUGUAGUUCAAGAGGACAGGAACAGCAGCAGUGAGAGGAGCACGUUUUUGAAAAAGGCAAAAUAGGCUCCCAUUUUGGUCCCUUUAACUAUAAAGGGCAAAUUC